rnacentral:sRNA from 1 species
GUGGAGGAAGUCUUGCUGCCCCUGGCUGUGACAUCUGACCCCAGGCCCUUUAAUCAACAACUCCCAGAGCCUCCAGACCCAAGAUGUGUUUUGGAACCUCAGGACAAUCCUGAACUGGCACCUGCCCUGGUGUGUGCCCUUUGCUGCUGCUUUGGAAUCAUCUACUGCUGCUUCAGCUACCGCUGCUUCAAGACAGUGACGUUUCUCUCCGGUCAGCUGUCAGGAGCGCUGAUGAGCUUCCUACUGUGCCACAAGGUGCGGGUGCUGGAGACACAGCUGAGCCUGGAAAUGAGAGUGGGCAUCGCCGUGGUCAUCAUGACUCCUCUGUGGUGUGGUCACCAUGUUGGUUCACUGUGUUGGGCUCUUAUUGACUGGUCUCCUGCUAGGCCUGACCUUGGGUGCCAGAGCCCUGCUGGCUUCUGAGCCUAUCUACCAACCACCUUCAGCCUGGGUGCCAGCUGGGGGGCUGGUGGGGCUGGCACUGCUGGGAGCCCUGCUCACACUUCGGUGGCCACGUCCAUUCACAGUUCUGGGCACAGCCCUGCUGGGUUCUGCAGUGCUUGUGGCCUGUGUUGACUACUUCCUGGAGGGGCUGGCACUGGGCAGUCGGCUGGGCCAACGCCUGCAGACACUUCCAGCCUUGCCUUCUCUCUGCUGAUAUAGCUGGGUCUUACUGGGGAUCUGGCCAGCCUUGGGGACCCUUGGGGCCCUGGCCCAGUGGAAGCUUGUGCCUGAGGAACAUGGAGGCCACGCCAAUGAGUUACUUCCAGAGUCUUCAAGAGUGCCAACUGGGACCAGGACCCCAGGCCACAGCCCCCCACACCGUCCUGGACCUGGAUUCUGACUGUGGUUCCACUGUACCCCUCACCUUAAUCUCUGGUUCUAACCAGACCUGA